rnacentral:rRNA from 1 species
UACAAAGUGAAACUGCGAAUGGCUCAUUAUAUAAGUUAUCGUUUAUUUGAUAUUGCCUAUCCUACAUGGAUAACAGUGGUAAUUCUAGAGCUAAUACAUGCUGAAAAUCCCGACUUCGGAAGGGACGUAUUUAUUAGAAUCAGAACCAAUGCCCUUCGGGGUUCUUUGGUGAAUCAUGAUAACUCCACAGAUCGCAUGGCCUUGCGCCGGCGAUGGCUCAUUCAAAUUUCUUCCCUAUCAACUUUCGACGGUACGGUCUUGGCCUACCGUGGUUGCAACGGGUGACGGAGGGUUAGGGCUCGACCCCGGAGAAGGAGCCUGAGAAACGGCUACUACAUCCAAGGAAGGCAGCAGGCGCGCAAAUUAUCCAAUCCCGACUCGGGGAGAUAGUGACAAUAAAUACCGAUACAGGGCUCUUUUGGGCCCUGUAAUUGGAAUGAGUACAAUUUAAACCUCUUAACGAGGAACAAUUGGAGGGCAAGUCUGGUGCCAGCAGCCGCGGUAAUUCCAGCUCCAAUAGCGUAUAUUAAAGUUGUUGUGGUUAAAAAGCUCGUAGUCGAACCUCGAGCCUGGCCGGCCGGUCCGCCUCACCGCGUGCACUGGUCUGGCCGGGCUCUUCCCUCUGCGGAACCGCAUGCCCUUCACUGGGCGUGUCGGGGAGGCAGGACUUUUACUUUGAAAAAAUUAGAGUGCUCAAGGCAGGCCAAUGCUCGAAUACAUUAGCAUGGAAUAAUAGAAUAGGACGUUGGUUCUAUUUUGUUGGUUUCUAGGACCGCCGUAAUGAUCAAUAGGGACGGUCGGGGGCAUCAGUAUUCAGCCGUCAGAGGUGAAAUUCUUGGACCGGCUGAAGACUAACUACUGC